GACGAACGCUGGCGGCGUGCUUAACACAUGCAAGUCGAACGAAAAGGCCCUGCUUUUGUGGGGUGCUCGAGUGGCGAACGGGUGAGUAACACGUGAGUAACCUGCCCUUGACUUUGGGAUAAGUUCAGGAAACUGGGGCUAAUACCGGAUAGGAGCUCCUGCUGCAUGGUGGGGGUUGGAAAGUUUCGGCGGUUGGGGAUGGACUCGCGGCUUAUCAGCUUGUUGGUGGGGUAGUGGCUUACCAAGGCUUUGACGGGUAGCCGGCCUGAGAGGGUGACCGGCCACAUUGGGACUGAGAUACGGCCCAGACUCCUACGGGAGGCAGCAGUGGGGAAUAUUGCACAAUGGGCGGAAGCCUGAUGCAGCAACGCCGCGUGCGGGAUGACGGCCUUCGGGUUGUAAACCGCUUUCGCCUGUGACGAAGCGUGAGUGACGGUAAUGGGUAAAGAAGCACCGGCUAACUACGUG
rnacentral:rRNA from 1 species